rfam:Spathaspora passalidarum NRRL Y-27907 unplaced genomic scaffold SPAPAscaffold_6, whole genome shotgun sequence.
GUCACAGUGGCCGAGUGGUUAAGGCGACGCCCUGCUAAUUCAGCGGUUAAGGCGUUGGGAUUUUCCUUCGCAGGUUCGAAUCCUGUCUGUGACG